UUAAAAAUAUUUCCGUCUUGGUUGUUUUAAAAAAAAUAAAAAGGGGGCCGCCCUAUUUUCUUUCUUCUCUGCUAAGGCUUUGAACCCAGUCCCACGCCGCCGUUCGAAAACUUUGCAGAUCUACGGCCUUAGUCCUCGUCCAAACUCCGAUUACAACGAAGUGAACGAGGAUUUGAUAGCACCGUCAUUAAGGUACUGGUGUACGGAAGAAGCCGUUCGUGGGGUGACAUGGAAGGAGCUGGAGGCGCGCGUGUGGGGGGAGCAGCGGCUGAAGGUUCUAGGGUUUUUUUUUUUUUUUUAGUUUUGGGCUGAUUUGGGUUUUAGGUUUAGUAUUUUAGGUAGUAUUUUAUGCCUGCUAUUUUAUUGGAUUUGUAAUAAGAAACUGGACUAUUAUUGGACUUUUAAUAAUUUGGACCUAUUUUAUGUUGUUUUCUUUA